AUACGGAGGAUCCGAGCGUUAUCCGGAUUUAUUGGGUUUAAAGGGAGCGUAGGCGGAGGAUCAAGUCAGCUGUGAAAUGUAGACGCUCGACGUCUGCACUGCAGUUGAAACUGGUCCCCUUGAGUGCGUAAGGGGCAGGCGGAAUUCGUCGUGUAGCGGUGAAAUGCUUAGAUAUGACGAAGAACUCCGAUCGCGAAGGCAUCUGGCCGGGCCGCAACUGACGCUGAAGCUCGAAGGUGCGGGUAUCGAACAGGAUUAGAUACCCUGGUAGUCCGCACAGUAAACGAUGGAUACUCGCUGUCGGCGAUAUACGGUCGGUGGCCAAGCGAAAGCGUUAAGUAUCCCACCUGGGGAGUACGCCGGCAACGGUGAAACUCAAAUGAAUUGGCGGGG
rnacentral:rRNA from 1 species